GCUGGGAGUGGUGGCACACCUGUAGUCCCAGCUACUGGGGAGGCUGGGGUGGGAGGAUCGCUUGAGCCCGGGAGGUUGAGACUGCAGUGAGCUAUGAUUAUGCCGCUGCACUCCAGCCUGGGCAAUAGAGUGAAACCCUGUCUCUU
rnacentral:SRP_RNA from 1 species